GAAAUGCGAAAAGUAGUGUGAAUUGCAGAAUUCAGUGAAUCAUCGAAUCUUUGAACGCACAUUGCGCCCCUUGGUAUUCCAUGGGGCAUGCCUGUUCGAGCGUCAUUUGUACCUUCAAGCUCUGCUUGGUGUUGGGUGUUUGUCCCCGUUUUAUGCGCGGACUCGCCUCAAAGCAAUUGGCAGCCGGCGUACUGGCCUUGGAGCGCAGCACAUUUUGCGCCCCUCGACUUGAACGCUUGCGUCCAUUAAGUCUACUCUUGCUCUUGACCUCGGAUCAGGUAGGGAUACCCGCUGAACUUAA
rnacentral:misc_RNA from 1 species